rnacentral:lncRNA from 1 species
GAAAUUUGCUGGAAAUAACUGCUCAGAGACCUUGUCAUAAGCCUAAUUCUCUAAUUCUAUCUGUUAACAUGCAAAUCAGAAACCUGGGACUACUUUGUAUGAACUGAUGCCAAGUGAAAUGAGAGCACUUUAUAUAACAACAAUAUGGCAAAGACAAAUAACUUUGAAAGAACUAAGAACUCUGGAUAAAUUGAAGAAAGUCAUGGAAAAAGGGAAGACUUGCAAGAACAGAUGCAAGGCAGAGAGGUGGACUCCUUAUCUUUAUCGUUAACUGAGGAUUACUGCUAACUUCCCAAAUCAAUCCCAUAUAAGUCAUGCUUCAUCUUUCUUGGCUUACUCACAUCAUCAAAG